UAUGUUUUAAGCAUUUAAAAAUUACAUAAAAGUAAUGUUUAAAGUAUAAUUAUAUUUCUGAUUAUCGAUUUUUUUUAAUAAAAUUUCUAUUCUGUUAGCAAUACAUUACACAUUUUCACAUUUUGAACGUUAUUUAUCUGUUAGCCUGUUCCACAUGUUAACUAUCAUACCUCUACAUUGAAAGUGCCAAAUUUCAAUUAUUUGUUUCAUCUUUUUUGUACCAAGUGUCAUUAAAGAUGACAACAAAAAGGUGAAUCGUAUGAUCAGAAGCAUGCAUUAACACAAUCCUGUAUAUAAAAUAUAUGCAUGCGGUAUUUCUAAAUUAUUGAAAAUGGAAACAAACUGCAGUUUUCACAUGUGUCAUAUUUAUAUUGUAACACUACUACAUAAUGUAUGGUAUCUGUUAUAUUAUACAUUCUUAAACACCCAUUUAUUUUGCUCAUCAAAACAUCGCUCAUGAAUAUGUGGACCAAACUUAAUUUUCUGAGAAACUACUGUGUUAAAUAUGUUUGCAUUUGCAUGUUACUAAAACGAAUGAGAACUUGCAUUUUGAGUUAUUGCUGCAGAUUAUUUGUAGAGAAUGCUGAUUGCAUGU
rnacentral:lncRNA from 1 species